AGGUCACAUACACACACACACACAACACAGAGACCUUCCUCUCUCAUCUCUCUCUUUCCAUUGCACCUUCCCUUCUUCUCUUCUCUUCUCUGAGAUUCCUCCAAUGCUCUUUUCUCUUCCAUUGGAUUGUACAGAUUCCCAGCUAGAAUACCCAGAUUGCAAUCUCUGCAAUUCUACCUGAUUUGUGUGAAAAAACUACCAACCUUUAAAGACUGUAAAACUCAAAACUCUUGUGGGUCAUUUGGCUUCUGCUUUUUCAUUUUUGAUUUUUCCUUGCAAACCAUCUUCUGGGUUUGCUGCAGAAUCAAGCCUUCAACACCCACUACUCUUAACGCCGUAAAUAAGGCUUCGAAAAGGACUGUUAUUAUUUUCAGAAAAAAAAUUCAUUUGUGUUCAACUUUUUCUUUUUGUAUAUAAAUUAUUUUCUGCAAAUUUUCUUCUUGUUUUUCCCCCUUUCAUUUCUGGAAAAAAGAUUGAGACAUGGGGAAGCAAGGGCCUUGCUAUCACUGUGGAGUUACAAGCACACCACUUUGGCGUAAUGGGCCACCUGAGAAGCCAGUACUAUGCAACGCAUGUGGAUCUCGAUGGAGGACAAAGGGAACACUUGCAAAUUAUACCCCUUUACAUUCUCGGGCAGACAAUGUUGAUAAUGACGAUCAAAGGGUUUCCAGGCUAAAGAACAUGUCAUUAAAUAAGAACAAAGAAGUGAAAUUUGUGAAAAGAAAGCUGAACCAUGAUAAUGCUGCAUCUGGAGGGUUUACCCCUGAUUAUUAUCAAGGAUUCCAAAAGUUUGUGGAUGAAGAUACUAGCAAUAGAUCAAGUUCAGGGUCAGCCAUCUCUAACUCAGAGAGCUGUGCUCAAUUUGGUGGCAUGGAUGCUAGUGAUUUGACAGGACCUGCUCAGUCAGUCGUCUGGGAUACGGUGGUGCCUUCAAAAAAGAGGACAUGUGCAGGUCGUCCAAAGCAUUCAUCUGUUGAGAAGCUCACAAAAGACUUAUGUUCUAUUCUUCAUGAACAGCAGUCUUAUUUUUCUGCUACUUCUGAAGAGGAGCUUCUUUUUGAGAGUGAAACACCGAUGGUCUCUGUUGAGAUAGGACAUGGAAGCAUUCUCAUCAGGCACCCUAACUCCAUAGCUCGGGAAGAAGAGUCUGAGGCUAGCUCUCUUUCAGUUGAUAAUAAACAAUGCUUAAUGAGUGAGGCAUACUCAUAUUCUGGUACCAUUCCUAUGCAUAGUGAUUCCAGUGGCAUGAAUUUCUCAUCUCAGGGUGUUGAAAAGGUUAGAAAAUCUGCUGGCCAUACAAUCCAACUGGAGCAACUUGAAAGGGGCAAGUCUCAGCUUGAAAAACUAGAUGUUCCUGGAAAUCAUGUUUCAUCACUAUGCUCAAUAGAUUUAAAUGAUGUAGUGAACUAUGAGGUGUUUUCAAGAAACUUGACAAAUGAAGAGAAGCAGCAAUUACUGAAGUAUCUCCCUGUGGUUGAUACUGCUAAACUUCCUGACAGUCUUAAAAUCAUGUUCGAUAGCUUUCAAUUCAAGGAGAACUUCAGUUAUUUUCAGCAACUUCUUGGGGAAGGUGUCUUUGAUAUCUCUUUGGUAGGGGCAAAACCUGAAGCCUGCAAGACAUUAAAAAGGCUUGCAUUAUCUAAUCUAUCAAAGUCAAAAUGGGUAGAAUGCUAUAAUUCUCUCAAGAAAGGUGGAAACCAAGCUGGAAAAUGUAUUGAUCUGGGAUCUACUGCUAUGGCAUCAAGUAAUGUUGCAAAUGUCAAGAGAUUGCGGUACAGCCAGAAUCAGAACUUUCCAGAAUUGAAGACAAUGAGGAGCCCCAAGAGGGUGACCAUAAAGGCUAGCUGUGAAGGCAAAGAAGUUGCAGAAGAAGGCUCUAACUGCAGUCCAAGAAGCCUAUUUGCAUUGCCAGGUGAUGGUAGCUUGUGCAUGCUGGAUUCUUUGAACUUUGUUGCUGAGAGUUCUGAUCAGGAUUUGCUGCUAGAGGUGCCAUCUAACAGCUCUUUUCCACAAGCAGAGCUCCUCCACCCAACCUCAAGCUCCUGGUGUCCAUGCCAGCACCAGUAGUAGCUCAGUAUAUUCCCAUGUUUCUCAUCCUUAACUUAUCUUUAAUAUAGGUUACUCGGACCGCUAUGGGGUUAGGGUCUGUGCGUACGUUGCAUCUUAAACACUAAAAUCCAUGUACACUGGAUAUGGUGGUUGUGCUUUAUUUUUUUCCUUGCAACCUUCUUGAGCUUGGAUUGCCAGAGGAUGAAGUUGGAUGGGUCUCUUUUUAUUUGUAUAGGUUGGUAAUAGACUGUAACAUAUAGCAUGAAAUGCGGAGCGAUAAUAUCCGGAGUUUUGUAUGCAAUUGUAGUUUAUGUUUUGUGGAUAUUAUGUGACACCCUUUUCCCCCUAUAAUUACCCCCAUAAAAAAGAUGACAGCUUUAUAGAAUGGAUGAGGAAGAAGUUGACAA